AGGGUUUGAUUAUGGCUCAGGAUGAACGCUGGCGGCGUGCUUAACACAUGCAAGUCGAACGAACCUUCGGGUUAGUGGCGGACGGGUGAGUAACGCGUGAGAAUCUGCCCUCAGGAGGGGGAUAACGGUUGGAAACGACCGCUAAUACCCCAUAUGCCGAUAGGUGAAAUGAAUUUCGCCUGAGGAUGAGCUCGCGUCUGAUUAGCUUGUUGGUGAGGUAAUGGCUCACCAAGGCUUCGAUCAGUAGCUGGUCUGAGAGGAUGAUCAGCCACACUGGGACUGAGACACGGCCCAGACUCCUACGGGAGGCAGCAGUGGGGAAUUUUCCGCAAUGGGCGAAAGCCUGACGGAGCAACGCCGCGUGAGGGACGAAGGCCUCUGGGCUGUAAACCUCUUUUCUCAAGGAAGAAGAUAUGACGGUACUUGAGGAAUAAGCCACGGCUAAUUCCGUGCCAGCCGCCGCGGUAAUUC
rnacentral:rRNA from 1 species